UACGAAGGGGGCUAGCGUUGUUCGGAAUUACUGGGCGUAAAGCGCGCGCAGGCGGUCCUUCAAGUCAGAGGUGAAAGCCCAGAGCUCAGCCUGGGAACUGCAUUUGUGACUGCAUCGCUGGAGUGCGGCAGAGGGGGAUGGAAUUCCGCGUGUAGCAGUGAAAUGCGUAGAUAUGCGGAGGAACACCGAUGGCGAAGGCAAUCCCCUGGGCCUGCACUGACGCUCAUGCACGAAAGCGUGGGGAGCAAACAGG
rnacentral:rRNA from 1 species